AUUCCUGUAUCUAUAGUAACCAAUUUACUGUUUGGCAGAUGUUUGUUUUCCUACAGAAGUAAAAUAAAACAACCACAAUCGGAUGUUUUACCCCUCUUAGCCUGCAAUGUCCUUCACGUGUAAAGAACUCAGGUGACCGUAAUGUGAAGACAAAAGACAGACGGUACGAAUGAACGCUGAAGAAAAUGACGUAGUCCUUCAACGGAAUUCUGAAUUCGCGGUAGAUUUAACAUAGCCAAUAUCCGUUACUAAAAAACAAAUUAAUCGUUUUUUAUUAGUUUUUACACAAAUAUGUUUUCUUCUAUCCCGGAGUAGGCCUUCAGAACACAAUGCGAAAAGGAAUCCGACUCUUCGUUUGGGAUUAAGUCGCGAUGAUGAACCCUCGUCUGAAUCCGCCAUCGCCAGCGAGCGGCGGACGGUCGCCGGACAGCGCUCUCUCAGUCCCGCGGUGAGUCAGCGUUUCUUCUUCCUCGCCGCCGAGGUCAUCGCGGCCUGUUUUUUUCCGCCACGUCGGCGAUUCUCACGCAAGCGGCGAGCGACUCAUCAGAAAAAGUUCGAGGCGAACUGCGACGCCAGCGCGAAGCACGACGGCCCGACGUUCGAGGGUCUCGCUGCUACGGGUCUAGCGACACUUUGCAUACUGUACGUCACACAGUAGCGGACGGGGCCUCGUCCAGAAUGGAGAGGAAUCUUUUAAGAAACCUAGCAUGGCGGACCUGAUGACCAGUAGUUACGACAGUAGCAAACGUAAAAAGGUUCACGUGUUACUAUGGUUAUGCGUUCUGAAUUCAAAUCACAAUGGGGUCCCAUU